AUUGAACGCUGGCGGCAUGCCUUACACAUGCAAGUCGAACGGCAGCACGGGAGCAAUCCUGGUGGCGAGUGGCGAACGGGUGAGUAAUAUAUCGGAACGUGCCCAGUCGGGGGGGAUAACGCAGCGAAAGCUGUGCUAAUACCGCAUACGAUCUAAGGAUGAAAGCGGGGGAUCGCAAGACCUCGCGCGAUUGGAGCGGCCGAUAUCAGAUUAGCUAGGUGGUGGGGUAAAGGCCCUCCAAGGCGACGAUCUGUAGCUGGUCUGAGAGGACGACCAGCCACACUGGAACUGAGACACGGUCCAGACUCCUACGGGAGGCAGCAGUGGGGAAUUUUGGACAAUGGGCGCAAGCCUGAUCCAGCAAUGCCGCGUGCAGGAUGAAGGCCUUCGGGUUGUAAACUGCUUUUGUACGGAACGAAACGGCCCUUUCUAAUACAGGGGGCUAAUGACGGUACCGUAAGAAUAAGCACCGGCUAACUACGUGCCAGCCGCCGCGGUAA
rnacentral:rRNA from 1 species